AGGGUUUAGGGUUUUAUUGUACUGCUUGCCAGGUAUUCUUGCGGGAGGGAGGGUUCUUCAAACUCGUGAAGAUUUCCUCUGCUGAUCAGCUGGAGGAUUGCAAGCAAUCUAAAUGAUCAGUUAGUGAGGUGAGAGAUCCUGACUAUGAGCCUGUGAACAUAUAUAUGAGUACGCGUGUACUGGUGCGAUUCGGGUAUGUCGAUACGGUAAAAGUAAAACUAAGAAAAUGGGUAUGGGAUGAUAAUGGAGUGGUUAAUAAUAAUGUGCCUGCUUGACAUGCAAUUGUCCUGUUAUUUUGCUUCCUUGAAUUUAGCUUGUGGGUAUUAAAUUUUCAAUUUUUAGUACACGUGGGAGAUAAAUUUAAAUUUGUUGCCGAUAGGCAAGGUAUAGUUAUCCGUUUUCAUUCCUGUGAAGGGUCCUGAAGUUUCCGAUUGCUACACUGAAUUCUCUCUCUCUUUGUAACGGUUAAGGCUUGAUGCAAUGCACCAUCAUCUUUUCGUGUGUCAAUUCGGUCAUUUUUCUGAUAUGUCAAUUUUGAUUCAUUGUGACAACACAUGCAUAUGGUCAAACAAAGUUGUUCCCUUUGUGUGUUUGUUAGAUUGAUGUGAAAUUUAGGUUUCGCUAUGCCUAUUGGCUUCCAAGUUCAUUUUUGAGAACUGUGGUGAAUACUCCGAAUUUUCCAUACCGUGUAAUAUUUCAGCUGGAUGAUUUUGCUUAUUCUUCUUAUUCAUGUAUGCUAAUUGAUUCUCUUCCUUUUAAAUUCCCUUUUCUGGGUUAGGGACUACUAAGUAUGACUGAUUCUUUAGGCAUGCUUAAAUCAUGAUAAUGAUGGACUUUUCUGUCAAUAAAUUGGUUUGGGAUCUUCAUUUGAACUGGCACGAGGAAGAAACUCGUGAACUAUUGAGGUUGUAUAAGGAAAAGAUGGCUAUGGCAAAUUGCAAUUAAUUACAUAUGGGUAUGUGGAUGCGAGUGGAUUGGUUAGUGGUGUCCCCCUUUAAUAUAAACCUGACUAGCCUUGUUUUGAACACAAUGGGGCAGUCAUUUGAAAUUCUCUGUUUGUAAGCAAGUUUGAGCUAUCCGUUUUCCUUCCGAUGAACGAAGUGGAUUUCCACGUUGCCGAAAUCAAUUAACGGUCGCCUGUCGGACACUCCUUGCUGGAAAGGUAUUACCAUUUAUAUGUUUAGGUGUUGAAUCUGCUUAUGAUUUGUGGACUUCGGAAGACAAUACCAGCCCUAUUGGGCUUGGAUUUGGAAAUUGAAAAUUAUCAAAAUAAGUACAAGGAUUUCUUUCGAUCCGUCUUCAUGGAAUUUUUUUGAAUAAUCAACCAUGAGCAGUAAGAAGAUGCCUCCUAGAUCAGUGGUAGAGCAGGUAAUGAGCUUAUCAUUUGACGAGGGUUCAAACCCAUCCCCCACUCCCCUCUCCCCUAGGAUAGUAUAGAUUAGGAUUUUCUUGGUUCCAAUAAAAAGAACAAAAAUAAAGAGAAUUAAGGGGCCUAACUAUGGACCUCAUUUACUUUAGAUUUUAUUUUCAGUAAGGAAUAUAUAAAUCAUCUAUUCAGAACAUGGGUUUGCUACAAAGAUAUCUGGACUAAAUUUGGUAUUAUGCAGGUUGUCCAGACUAAUCAGAAUAUCCCAUGGUUUAUUGGUGUGUAAACAGUCUCAAGAAAGUUUCUAUAAGUCUCAUGUUGGUUUGCUCGAGCUGAAUACCUAUGGAAGUGCCAAGGGCAAUCAAGGUGCGCGCAGCUGGGUGCAGCCGAGUUUUCAGAGACAAGGAGGUGAUUCGGGGGUCAGGCUACUUCAGACGCUUGCUGAACAGCUCUCCUUUUGAAGCAGAAUUAUGGAGCAUCCUGAAUGGGCUUACCUCUAUCAAGCAGCAAGAUUUGAAAGAAUGUUGAAAUAGAGUCCGAUUGCUUGCAUCGUGGCUGUGAAGAUGGAGGCUGAUAGAUCAUGUGACAUUGAAGAAAUGUCCACAACUGAUGAAGUCCCAGAACUACACCAUACGACAUUAUUUAAGGGAGGCUAACAAGGUGGCAGACAAACUUGCCAAGAUUGGUGGAGGUCAAGACCUUCAAUGGUGCCAAUGACAGACCCCCAAGAUGAAGGAAUUCCGCAGAUCAAAAAAAAAAAAAAAAGAUGGAAGGAAUUCCAUGCAGUUGUAAUAUAGAAUUUAAAAGAACUUUAAAUUUUUUUCUGUUCCAUUUGUUCCGAUUUCCUUUGAAGCAAGAAAAGAAAAAGAAAUCGAAUGACUGCACUAUGUAAUGGUUGAGGAUUGAUACAGAAAUGACUGUCACUAUGUAAUGGUUGAGGAUUGAUACAGUACUUGUUAUUUACCUAAGUUAAUCAUAAGAUUCAUAACCA